rnacentral:rRNA from 1 species
AGAGUUUGAUCCUGGCUCAGAACGAACGCUGGCGGCAGGCCUAACACAUGCAAGUCGAACGCCCCGCAAGGGGAGUGGCAGACGGGUGAGUAACACGUGGGAACCUUCCCUAUAGUGCGGAAUAGCCCAGGGAAACUUGGAGUAAUACCGCAUACGCCCGAGAGGGGAAAGAUUUAUCGCUAUAGGAUGGGCCCGCGUAGGAUUAGCUAGUUGGUGAGGUAAUGGCUCACCAAGGCGACGAUCCUUAGCUGGUUUGAGAGAACGACCAGCCACACUGGGACUGAGACACGGCCCAGACUCCUACGGGAGGCAGCAGUGGGGAAUAUUGGACAAUGGGCGCAAGCCUGAUCCAGCCAUGCCGCGUGAGUGAUGAAGGCCUUAGGGUUGUAAAGCUCUUUUGCCGGGGA